rfam:Marinimicrobia bacterium 46_43 MPJ_scaffold_2749, whole genome shotgun sequence.
GCCACCAUAGCUCAGCUGGUAGAGCGGCGGUUUUGUAAACCGUUGGUCGCUGGUUCGAUUCCGGCUGGUGGCU